AGGGAACAAAGAGAAAAAGAGAAGAACAAACCCUAGGAAAGAAAAAUUCAAGAGAAAUUGUUAGAUUUUAAGGAAUCAAGCAAGUAAAGGUAAGAUUUUUUAAUUUUAGCUUGUGAUCUACCUUUCCCAUGCAUUCUUUUUCAUUCUCCAUGGUUGAAACUCAAGAUUUCAUGAAGGAAAGUUUGCUGGCUGAACCUAGGGGGAGAGGUUUUGAUCACGGGUUUUGUUAGAUUUCAUGCUACAUACGCGUUUUUAGUUGUUUUGUGAUACUCAGUGUGAAAAACAAGCAUAAAAACCACAUGUUCUUCAUGAAACCCUCAUUUGGCCGAAUUUUGCAUAGGGCAUGUUGAUGAUGGAUUUGGUUGUAAAUCAUAUUAUUUAGCUAGGAAUUGAUGAUUUAUGGUAUCGAAUAUUGAAAUCGAAAUGAAUUUCGGUUACGGUGAAUUAAGUCACAAUUAAGCUCAUUGAGGUACUUUAGUGUAUUUGGAAUAUUGGAAGUGUAAUGAAGAUAUUUGGAGUUGAAUUGGAUGUUUUGGCUAAUUAAACAAGGCAUAGUUUGAGUUAGGUUGAAUACAAAUUUAGUCCGAUCAUAAUUGAACCCACGUAGAACACCAUCUUUAAGUGAUUAUUCGGACAAUUCUCAUUCAAUUUCACGCAUUCAUAUAGAGCCUGAAAUAGUUUUAUAACAAUUUGGCACAAAUAUAUUGAAUUACAUGUCGUGUAUUAUGUAUAGGUGGUGAGCCCUCUGAUAAGGGUAAAGAUAUUGUGCCCUAGGACCAAGAAUAGGAGUACUCCAAACUCUUUCUAUUGUGAGUAACAGACUUUCAUCUUAACUAUCUAAAGUUGUU
rnacentral:lncRNA from 1 species